rnacentral:rRNA from 1 species
UACAGAGGUCUCAAGCGUUGUUCGGAUUCAUUGGGCGUAAAAGGGUGUGUAGGUGGCGCCGUAAGUCGGGUGUGAAAUUUCGGAGCUUAAACUCCGAAACUGCAUUCGAUACUGCGGUGCUUGAGGACUGGAGAGGAGACUGGAAUUCAUGGUGUAGCAGUGAAAUGCGUAGAGAUCAUGAGGAAGACCAGUGGCGAAGGCGGGUCUCUGGACAGUUCCUGACACUGAGACACGAAGGCCAGGGGAGCAAACGGG